UACUUCCUCUCAUAUUGUAUCUUUUUGUUUCAGGCUAUGGACGUAACAGUGGAUUUCCGCAAAAUUUCAAAACUGGUAUCAGUGAAUGCUCAUCACCACACUUGACCAGUAAUAAAGAACCUUCUGUAGUUCAAGAUCAGUUUAAAUGGACUAUUUACAAUGCUACUGUUAAUCUACCAGCUGUUUUGAAUGAUCCACGAUUAGCUAAAAGAGAAACAGACUUUUUCACAAAAACUUGGGGGGAAUCAUUUGAGAAAAGGGAUAUUUCUCCUUCUCCUUAUUUACCUGAAGUGAAUCGAUCUCAUUUUGAAAAGUAUCUAAAUAAGUCAUCUGAGAAAUACAAAACACAUCUUCUGAAUUUAGAUCAAACAUCCAAACAGCAAGUUCCUGAUGCCAUAUAUUCAAAUUCAUUGAGACACAUUAAACAUUUAGAAAAGAAUCGUGCUGAAUUGGACCAGGUACCGAAGGUAAGAAAAACACACUU